UACGUAGGGGGCAAGCGUUGUCCGGAAUGAUUGGGCGUAAAGGGCGCGUAGGCGGCUUUGCAAGUCAGUAGUGGAAGUCCAUUUUUCAAGGAUGGAAGUGCUACAGAAACUGCGGAGCUUGAGUGCAGGAGAGGUUAUCGGAAUUCCCGGUGUAGCGGUGAAAUGCGUAGAGAUCGGGAGGAACACCAGUGGCGAAGGCGGGUAACUGGACUGCAACUGACGCUGAGGCGCGAAAGUGUGGGGAGCAAACAGGAUUAGAUACCCUGGUA
rnacentral:rRNA from 1 species